AUCCUCUCAGUUGUCGGUACUGAUGCCUUGAAAAAGACCAAAAAGGAUGAUGAGAAGUCUAAAAAGUCCAAAGAAGAGUAUCAGCAAACCUGGUAUCAUGAAGGACCAAAUAGCUUGAAGGUGGCAAGACUAUGGAUUGCUAAUUAUUCGUUGCCCAGGGCAAUGAAACGCUUGGAAGAGGCCCGACUCCAUAAGGAGAUUCCUG
rnacentral:misc_RNA from 1 species